GCAGGCUGCAACUCGCCUGCAUGAAGUUGGAAUUGCUAGUAAUCGCGGAUCAGCAUGCCGCGGUGAAUACGUUCCCGGGCCUUGUACACACCGCCCGUCACACCAUGAGAGCCGGUAACACCCGAAGUCAGUAGCCUAACCGCAAGGGGGGCNCUGCCGAAGGUGGGAUUGGUAAUUGGGGUGAAGUCGUAACAAGGUACC
rnacentral:rRNA from 1 species